AUACAUAGGGUGCAAGCGUUAUCCGGAAUUAUUGGGCGUAAAGGGCUCGUAGGCGGUUCGUCGCGUCCGGUGUGAAAGUCCAUCGCUUAACGGUGGAUCCGCGCCGGGUACGGGCGGGCUUGAGUGCGGUAGGGGAGACUGGAAUUCCCGGUGUAACGGUGGAAUGUGUAGAUAUCGGGAAGAACACCAAUGGCGAAGGCAGGUCUCUGGGCCGUUACUGACGCUGAGGAGCGAAAGCGUGGGGAGCGAACAGGAUUAGAUACCCUGGUAGUCCACGCCGUAAACGGUGGAUGCUGGAUGUGGGGCCCGUUCCACGGGUUCCGUGUCGGAGCUAACGCGUUAAGCAUCCCGCCUGGGGAGUACGGCCGCAAGGCUAAAACUCAAAGAAAUUGACGGGGGCCCGCACAAGCGGCGGAGCAUGCGGAUUAAUUCGAUGCAACGCGAAGAACCUUACCUGGGCUUGACAUGUUCCCGACGGUCGUAGAGAUGCGGCUUCCCUUCGGGGCGGGUUCACAGGUGGUGCAUGGUCGUCGUCAGCUCGUGUCGUGAGAUGUUGGGUUAAGUCCCGCAACGAGCGCAACCCUCGCCCCGUGUUGCCAGCGGAUUAUGCCGGGAACUCACGGGGGACCGCCGGGGUUAACUCGGAGGAAGGUGGGGAUGACGUCAGAUCAUCAUGCCCCUUACGUCCAGGGCUUCACGCAUGCUACAAUGGCCGGUACAACGGGAUGCGACGCGGCGACGCGGAGCGGAUCCCUGAAAACCGGUCUCAGUUCGGAUCGCAGUCUGCAACUCGACUGCGUGAAGGCGGAGUCGCUAGUAAUCGCGAAUCAGCAACGUCGCGGUGAAUGCGUUCCCGGGCCUUGUACACACCGCCCGUCAAGUCAUGAAAGUGGGCAGCACCCGAAGCCGGUGGCCUAACCCCUUGUGGGAUGGAGCCGUCUAAGGUGAGGCUCGUGAUUGGGACU
rnacentral:rRNA from 1 species